rnacentral:snRNA from 1 species
GUAUGACUUCUGUAGCACAUAUACUACAAUCGGAGAAAUGCAGAGAUUAGCAUGACCCCUGUGCAAAUAUACCAACCUCAUGAAGUGUUGUAUAUUUUU